GCUGGCGUAGCUCAGUCGGUAGAGCAGCUGAUUUGUAAUCAGCAGGCCGCGGGUUCGACUCCUGCCGCCAGCACCA
rnacentral:tRNA from 1 species